GAUCAUGGCUCAGGAUGAACGCUAGCUACAGGCUUAACACAUGCAAGUCGAGGGGCAGCAUGUAUCUGGCUUGCCAGAUACGAUGGCGACCGGCGCACGGGUGAGUAACGCGUAUCCGACCUGCCGCACACUCCGGGAUAGCCUUGCGAAAGCAAGUUUAAUACCGGGUGCCGUAAGUACGCCGCAUGGUGUUUUUUACGAAAGGGAUUUACCGGUGUGCGAUGGGGAUGCGUCCCA
rnacentral:rRNA from 1 species